AUUGAACGCUGGCGGCAGGCUUAACACAUGCAAGUCGAGCGGAGAUGAGGUGCUUGCACCUUAUCUUAGCGGCGGACGGGUGAGUAAUGCUUAGGAAUCUGCCAUUUAGUGGGGGACAACAUUCCGAAAGGAAUGCUAAUACCGCAUACGUCCUACGGGAGAAAGCAGGGGAUCUUCGGACCUUGCGCUAAAUGAUGAGCCUAAGUCGGAUUAGCUAGUUGGUGGGGUAAAGGCCUACCAAGGCGACGAUCUGUAGCGGGUCUGAGAGGAUGAUCCGCCACACUGGGACGGAGACACGGCCCAGACUCCUACGGGAGGCAGCAGUGGGGAAUAUUGGACAAUGGGCGGAAGCCUGACCCAGCCAUGCCGCGUGUGUGAAGAAGGCCUUUUGGUUGUAAAGCACUUUAAGCGAGGAGGAGGCUACUAGUACUAAUACUACUGGAUAGUGGACGUUACUCGCAGAAUAAGCACCGGCUAACUCUGUGCCAGCAGCCGCGGUAAGAC
rnacentral:rRNA from 1 species